GAUGAAGAACGUAGCGAAAUGCGAUAAGUAAUGUGAAUUGCAGAAUUCAGUGAAUCAUCGAAUCUUUGAACGCACAUUGCGCCCCCUGGUAUUCCGGGGGGCAUGCCUGUUCGAGCGUCAUUUCACCACUCAAGCCUCGCUUGGUAUUGGGCAACGCGGUCCGCCGCGUGCCUCAAAUCGACCGGCUGGGUCUUCUGUCCCCUAAGCGUUAUGGAAACUAUUCGCUAAAGGGUGUUCGGGAGGCUACGCCGUAAAACAACCCCAUUUCUAAGGUUGACCUCGGAUCAGGUAGGGAUACCCGCUGAACUUAAGCAUAUCAAUAAGCGGAGGA
rnacentral:misc_RNA from 1 species